CCUACGGGCGGCUGCAGUAGGGAAUAUUGCUCAAUGGUCGAGACACUGAAGCAGCCACGCCGCGUGGAGGAUGAAGGUUUUCGGAUUCUUAACUCUCUUUGUUCAAGAAGCUCAUGCCGGUAUCUAACGACUAAUCAUCGGCUCAAACCGUGCCAGCUGCAGCGGUAAUACGGCGGUUGCCAGCGUUACUCGGAAUCACCGGGCGUAAACAGCGCGUAGGGGGGUUAGCAAGUCAGAUGUGAAAUCCUAUGGUUUAACCAUAGAACUGCAGUUGAAACUGGUAUUCUAGAGUGGGGGAGAGGUAUGUGGAAUUCGUGGUGUAGGGGUAAAAUCCGUAGAGAUCAAGAAGAAUACUCAUUGCGAAGGCGGCAUGCUAGAUCAUAACUGACGCUGAUGCACGAAAGCGUGGGGAGCGAACAGGAUUAGAUACCCUGGUAGUC
rnacentral:rRNA from 1 species